rnacentral:rRNA from 1 species
CCUACGGGAGGCAGCAGUGAGGAAUAUUGCACAAUGGGGGCAACCCUGAUGCAGCGACGCCGCGUGAGUGAAGAAGUAUUUCGGUAUGUAAAGCUCUAUCAGCAGGGGAGAAGAAAGACGGUAGCUGACUAAGAAGCCCCGGCUAACUACGUGCCAGCAGCCGCGGUAAUACGUAGGGGGCAAGCGUUAUCCGGAUUUACUGGGUGUAAAGGGAGCGUAGACGGCUGUGCAAGUCUGAAGUGAAAGCCCAGGGCUCAACCCUGGGACUGCUGUUGAAACUGGGGAGCUAGAGUGAUGGUGAGGCAAGCGGAAUGCGUAGUGUAGCGGUGAAAUGCGUAGAUAUCAGGCGGAACACCAGUGGCGAAGGCGGCCUACUGGACAGUAACUGACGUUGAGGCUCGAAAGCGUGGGGAGCGAACAGGAUUAGAUACCCGGGUAGUC